GUAUUCAUUUAUAAACAAUAAUCUAUUUAUCUUUGGCAUUCGAUGGACGUUUAUAAUACCGCCAUGCGGUACUCUUGUUUUAUAAUGAGUUAGAUAAGUAUAACACGGGUAUACCUUUAUCCCGUUAUGCGGUACACUUUAACACUGUACCAACCAACAGAACUAGCUUAUUAUGAUCUAGUCCCAUAUAAGUCAAAGUUUAUUCUUCUGUCACAGUGAGGACGCCGACUGUUGACCUGGGCCUGGAAUUGUGACAGUGAUUUCGAGCGAAAAUAUCCUUAGUUGACUAAUCGGCAGUAGUACCCCCAAAGUCUCUCGGAGGACAUCAUUCUUCCAACCAGGGAACGUAGCACAUCAAAUUGCUGUCAAAAACUGGAAUUUUACCAGUUCGUGAAAAAAAAUAUGCACGACAAGAGCGAACAAUUCCCUCUCAACCAUGAGUACAUGUAGUUGACCAUAUUUAAGGACUCCAUACCAUUCCAGUUUGAAUUCAACAAAAGAUCCCAUAAUGAAUCACUCCAGGAAACCUGAUGGGUAGCCAUAAUAUAACAUGACUAUAUGUCAUGUAUUCACCAGGAGGUGACAGAAGUGACCAGUUCUGUGAGGCUUUGGUGGAGGAUAUACAAGUAUUCCUGUCACUUCUAUAGCUCAUCCUCGGGUAAGAUUAUAAGGCAGCCUCCAUCAUGGCUACUAACGUACCCACAGAGGUUAUUGAGAUCCAUAACACCAUGGUUUUGGAAUUGUCGCAAACGAUAACACCAGAGGAUCUACAGAGCUUUAAAAUAUCUUUUUAGAAAUAAUCCACUUACCCGAGUUGAUAUGGUAACAAUAAACACAGUGCAUGAUCUGAUUACUCGCCUCAUGGACGCAAAAAUACAAUUUCUUAUGGAGACUACGAAUAACUUAGUACGAGCCCUAGAGGUAGUGAAUCCUAUACUGUGUAUUAUCGUAAAUCAGCGCACUGAGGAUAUUAGGAGAAUACUAGAAACAGAGAGAGGUAAGUGAUGUUUAUAUUGAUUGGUUUGAUCGUCCCUUACAUGUGUAUAUUGAUGUGUUAGGAUGCGUGGUUAUAGUUGUCUAUGUAAAUAUUAUGUAUGUUAUACAGAAAAAAAACUACGCCUUUAAUUGACAUUUUUAUUGUAAUACAUAGAUGUGACAUGUAUUUUUAUAUGCUACACUCGUAUCCACUUUUAUCUUAUAAUCUGACUGUAGUAAAUGGUACAAUAUCAGCACUCAAAUGUAUGUAAUGUUCGGGGUAGUCAUGACAGUAGUUGUACCUUUGAAUUGAAAUAUUAAUAUUGGUAGUGUAAGUUAAUAUUUUGAUAUGAAAUUCCUCAGACUUAUAUUUUAUUGAUUAUGACGUACACAAACCAAACUGAUAUUCCCCUUCCAUUGUUAAAUCAUAUAUUGUAUAACUUUUCUCGCCGUAUAAUGGUUAGCCAUUUGUGAUAACAUUUUCUGGCAAAUCAAUUUUUUGUCGAUAGAAAUACCUAAAGUAUCCAAUACGUUAGUACCCUACAAUCAUAUAUAUAUAUAUUUUCUUUGGUCCUUGUAUAUGAUGAUGACGCUGAUGAUUCACUUGAUAUGCAAACUUUUGAAAAACAUAGCUGUCCACCAUUUAGAUUUUGUUUGAUUAAUAUCCAAGUGCUGAGAGUACUGAAACUUAAAAGUCAGGAUUAACAUUAGAUCAUUAAAGAUUUUUCACAUUGAAUUAUGUGUCCUAUUCAUAUGCCACAACAACUUAGAAAUGUACUUUAAUGCUUCCCUCGAAUUUCAUGACAGCCCUUUGUUAAGCAAGGAUCAUGAAACUCUAACAUGAUGUUGAAUAUUUUCACAGCACUUUUGAAAACUAUUUAAAUUGGUUCAUCUAUUUUUAUUUUUGCUUCUGUUAAUUCUGAAUAAAGUUUAUCAACGAAGUAAA